rnacentral:rRNA from 1 species
AGAGUUUGAUCCUGGCUCAGGACUAACGCUGGCGGCGUGCCUAAUACAUGCAAGUCGAACGGGAUUAUAGAUUUAGCUUGCUAAGCCUAUAAUCUAGUGGCGGAUGGGUGAGUAACACGUGGGAAUCUGCCUUUUGCUGGGGGAUAACAGUGGGAAACCAUUGCUAAUACCGCAUAAUUCCUUCGGGAGAAAGGUGCAAUUGCAUCGGCAAAAGAUGAGCCCGCGUCCCAUUAGCUAGUUGGUGAGGUAAUGGCUCACCAAGGCGACGAUGGGUAACCGGCCUGAGAGGGUGACCGGUCACACUGGGACUGAGAUACGGCCCAGACUCCUACGGGAGGCAGCAGUAGGGAAUCUUCCGCAAUGGGCGCAAGCCUGACGGAGCGACGCCGCGUGAGUGAAGAAGGCCUUCGGGUUGUAAAGCUCUGUUCUUGAGGAAGAAUAAGCUAGGGAGUGGAAAACCUUAGUGAUGACAGUACUCAAGGAGCAAGCCCCGGCUAACUACGUGCCAGCAGCCGCGGUAAAACGUAGGGGGCAAGCGUUGUCCGGAAUUACUGGGUGUAAAGGGCGCGUAGGCGGUUUCUUAAGUCAGGUGUGAAAGACCGAGGCUUAACUUCGGGUGUGCACUUGAAACUGGGGAGCUUGAGUGUGGGAGAGGAAAGUGGAAUUCCCGGUGUAGCGGUGAAAUGCGUAGAUAUCGGGAGGAACACCAGUGGCGAAGGCGGCUUUCUGGCCCACAACUGACGCUGAGGCGCGAAAGCUGGGGGAGCAAACAGGAUUAGAUACCCUGGUAGUCCCAGCUGUAAACGAUGGAUACUAGGUGUGGGGGGAUCGACCCCCUCCGUGCCGCAGUUAACGCAAUAAGUAUCCCACCUGGGGAGUACGGCCGCAAGGCUGAAACUCAAAGGAAUUGACGGGGGCCCGCACAAGCGGUGGAGCA